AGCGAACGCUGGCGGCAGGCUUAACACAUGCAAGUCGAGCGGGCAUAGCAAUAUGUCAGCGGCAGACGGGUGAGUAACGCGUGGGAACGUACCUUUUGGUUCGGAACAACACAGGGAAACUUGUGCUAAUACCGGAUAAGCCCUUACGGGGAAAGAUUUAUCGCCGAAAGGUCGGCCCGCGUCUGAUUAGCUAGUUGGUGAGGUAAUGGCUCACCAAGGCGACGAUCAGUAGCUGGUCUGAGAGGAUGAUCAGCCACAUUGGGACUGAGACACGGCCCAAACUCCUACGGGAGGCAGCAGUGGGGAAUAUUGGACAAUGGGCGCAAGCCUGAUCCAGCCAUGCCGCGUGAGUGAUGAAGGCCCUAGGGUUGUAAAGCUCUUUUGUGCAGGAAGAUAAUGACGGUACCGCAAGAAUAAGCCCCGGCUAACUUCGUGCCAGCCGCCGCAGUAA
rnacentral:rRNA from 1 species